rnacentral:rRNA from 1 species
AGAGUUUGAUCCUGGCUCAGGAUGAACGCUGGCGGCGUGCUUAACACAUGCAAGUCGAACGAUGAUCCCAGCUUGCUGGGGGAUUAGUGGCGAACGGGUGAGUAACACGUGAGUAACCUGCCCUUAACUCUGGGAUAAGCCUGGGAAACUGGGUCUAAUACCGGAUAUGACUCCUCAUCGCAUGGUGGGGGGUGGAAAGCUUUAUUGUGGUUUUGGAUGGACUCGCGGCCUAUCAGCUUGUUGGUGAGGUAAUGGCUCACCAAGGCGACGACGGGUAGCCGGCCUGAGAGGGUGACCGGCCACACUGGGACUGAGACACGGCCCAGACUCCUACGGGAGGCAGCAGUGGGGAAUAUUGCACAAUGGGCGAAAGCCUGAUGCAGCGACGCCGCGUGAGGGAUGACGGCCUUCGGGUUGUAAACCUCUUUCAGUAGGGAAGAAGCGAAAGUGACGGUACCUGCAGAAGAAGCGCCGGCUAACUACGUGCCAGCAGCCGCGGUAAUACGUAGGGCGCAAGCGUUAUCCGGAAUUAUUGGGCGUAAAGAGCUCGUAGGGCGGUUUGUCGCGUCUGCCGUGAAAGUCCGGGGCUCAACUCCGGAUCUGCGGUGGGUACGGGCAGACUAGAGUGAUGUAGGGGAGACUGGAAUUCCUGGUGUAGCGGUGAAAUGCGCAGAUAUCAGGAGGAACACCGAUGGCGAAGGCAGGUCUCUGGGCAUUAACUGACGCUGAGGAGCGAAAGCAUGGGGAGCGAACAGGAUUAGAUACCCUGGUAGUCCAUGCCGUAAACGUUGGGCACUAGG